UUAGUAUUUUUUGUGGUUAGUGUGCUUGUGGAAAAACAAAAAGUCAUAUACAUUCUAUGAAUUUAACAUAUAUUUUUGUCUAGAAAUUCUUUAUAUAACAAUCAAUAAAAAUGCACUUGGAUUGUUUUAUCAUAUCGUUGUUCUUUGAUGAAGAAACGAUGUUGAGAAAAGUUGUCUUUGCUGAUUAGAGGUCAGAUCAGCUAAGACGAAACAUUUUUUAACUUUCUUUGACCGCCCAUUGAACUCAGGCCUCAACCAAGGAUCAUAAGCCCCACACCUUUGUGUGAGUGUUUUUUUUUUGGCUAAGUGUCACUAGAUCAACCGACCAUUGGUCUCUGAUCCUCUGGUAAUCAAUUGAAGACUGCCUGUAGUUGUCUUUGUUGGAGGUAUUGUCCUUGAUGAAGACGCUAACAUUCAACAUCAUCUGCUCCUGUUUGGAAUCGAACGAGGAGCUAGAAGAAAUAAACUUGUUACUUGGUUUCAGCAGAUGAUGGGUGUGGUCAAUCCCCUUCACAAGCUAUAACCGUAGCCUUCAGGCAAGUGCAAGGAUUCGAGAUAUGGGGAAGGAUCUCAUAGGUGAAAAGAGGGUUGGAACUUGCACAGAAGAGUUCUGAUCCACGCCAAGAUCUCAUCAGUUGCAUGCUUAGCACCCGUUAUGAAAACACUAGAGAAGUAAUAACUGAGAAGGGAAUUGAGGACAAUGGCUUGCUUGUUAUGACUGCAGGACAUGACACUUCAUCUAUUCUGAGCAUGAACAGAUCACGAUGAACAAGCAGAAGGGACAGUUGUUAACUUGGGAGGACCUUGCUAAGAUGAUUACACGUGGAGAAUAGCACAGGACUUGAGAAUCUUCCCUCCUGUCUUCGGUUGCUUCAGGCAAGCCGUGAAAGAUAAAGAAUACAAUGGAUACCUUAUUCCUUAAGGUUUUUUUUUCUCUUUAUUGCUUUCGUGCACAACAUUUAUCGAAACUCUUCAUUUAUGACAUUUAGAUAUUCUGGGCAAUAAAUAUGACCCACACAGACGAUAGCAUACUUCCAGAACCGUCAUAGUUUGACCCAACCAGAUUCGAGAACCAAGCUUCAAUUCCACCUUACUGCUUUAUAUUCAUUCCACUAGGAGGUGGCCCUCGUAUAUGUACAGGACACGAGUUCGCAAAGAUUGAAACCCUGGUUACAAUCCAUCACCUCGUCACUCGAUUUACAUGGAAGUUUUUGGCAGAUAAUUUUUUCAAAAGGGAUCCAAUGCCAGUUCCAACUAAAGGACAGACAAUCCAAAUCAUGCCAAAGACAAACCUUACAUUCUAGUUUUCUACAUCUAAACAACAGAACUGGUCUAAACGAGUUUGUAGCAAAAAGAUGUUCUGGUAUUCCAGCUUCGAGUCUUGACUACUUAGCACUAUCCCACUUAUUAUAGAAUGGUUGCUGUUAUGCAGAGCA